rnacentral:ncRNA from 1 species
AACUUUGUAGAAAGGAGAGAUGGCUGGCAUCCUCCUUAUUAACAACGGGAACACCCUUUGGGAUUUCUUGUAACACGUGGUUAAUAUUAAUGAGACAGUUAUCACCCUAUCUUCUGAACUGUUAAUCAUUUUAA